rnacentral:tRNA from 1 species
GACCGCGUAGUUCAGUUGGCAGAGCAUUGGGCUAGCAUUCCAAAGGUCGUAGGUUCAAUUCCCACCGUGGCCA